CCUACGGGUGGCAGCAGUGAGGAAUAUUGGUCAAUGGGCGAGACCCUGAACCAGCCAAGUCGCGUGAAGGAUGACGGUUCUCUGGUUUGUAAACUUCUUUUAUAUGGGAAUUAAGUGAGGAACGUGUUCCUUUUUGUAUGUACCAUAUGAAUCAGCAUCGGCUAACUCCGUGCCAGCAGCCGCGGUAAUACGGAGGGUGCGAGCGUUAUCCGGAUUUAUUGGGUUUAAAGGGUGCGUAGGUGGUUAAUUAAGUCAGCGGUGAAAGUUAGUGGCUCAACCAUAAAAUUGCCGUUGAAACUGGUGGACGUGAGUAUAUUAGAGGUAGGCGGAAUGCGUGGUGUAGCGGUGAAAUGCAUAGAUAUCACGCAGAACUCCGAUGGCGAAGGCAGCUUACUAAACUAUAACUGACACUGAAGCACGAAAGCGUGGGUAUCAAACAGGAUUAGAUACCCGUGUAGUC
rnacentral:rRNA from 1 species